ensembl:ncRNA lncRNA:CR44061 long non-coding RNA:CR44061
UAAGCAAAAAAAAAAAAAACAGCCAGAGCAAAGCACUUACACAACAUUUUCUAUUACACGAAAUAUUUAUGGUUAUCAUGCGGAGGCAAAAACAGGGCCACCUAUGAACACAGAGUGGAAAGGAAUGCCCUGCAGCUGGCCAAAGGAGCUGGCAAAACCGAAACCCACACCAAAUGCGCACUCUGGUCCACAGCAAAGCUCACCGAACAGAGAACACAGAACACAGAACACACAGUACGGCACAACAAAUCCAAAUCCUGGCCACAACAGCAGAAGAAUCUGCAAAACUUUUGCUAUGCUGGCUAGGUAGUAAGUAGUCAGGGAC